rnacentral:tRNA from 1 species
AGGCCCAUAGCUCAAUUGGUUAGAGCUCCGAGCUUAUACCUCGGCGGUUCCUGGUUCGAGCCCAGGUGGGCCUA